UCAACAUGGCCACCAGAGAAAGCAGAGCUGUUGUUCGCGGUUCAUCUCGCAGGAGAAGACGCAGCAUAUCGGAAGAUCCUCCCAACAAAUUUCCAUUUCUGCACCAACACUUCCAGUUCAAAACCAGCAUGUUCAAUCUCACCGGCUGACCUCACUUCCAACUCGCACGGAUCUCGCGCUCCUGUCUCUAAAGCCAUCGCAGAAUCGAUGCAGUGAGUGAUCUGAGAGUUGGUCUGCUGGGGAAUAGUGUGUCAG